rnacentral:tRNA from 4 species
GCGGCUGUGGCGGAAUCGGUAGACGCGCAGCGUUGAGGUCGCUGUGGGGUAAAACCCGUGGAAGUUCAAGUCUUCUCAGCCGCACCA